rnacentral:rRNA from 1 species
GACAGAGGUGCCGAGCGUUAGGCGGAAUCACUGGGCUUAAAGCGUGUGUAGGCGGGCGGGCAAGUACCUUGUGAAAUCCCACGGCUCAACCGUGGAACUGCUGGGUAUACUGCUCGUCUUGAGCCAAUCAGGGGCGAGCGGAACAGACGGUGGAGCGGUGAAAUGCGUAGAUAUCAGGAGGAAUACCGGUGGUGUAGACGGCUCUCUGGACCGCCACUGACGCUGAAGACACGAAAGCGUGGGUAGCAAACAGG